rnacentral:rRNA from 1 species
ACGCUCGACACCUACGGGCGGCAGCAGUAGGGAAUCUUCCACAAUGGGCGCAAGCCUGAUGGAGCAACACCGCGUGAGUGAAGAAGGGUUUCGGCUCGUAAAGCUCUGUUGUUGGAGAAGAACGUGCGUGAGAGUAACUGUUCACGCAGUGACGGUAUCCAACCAGAAAGUCACGGCUAACUACGUGCUAGCAGCCGCGGUAAUCUGAGCGGGCUGGCAAGGC